AUUCUUGUCACCUUAAAAACACUCAAAAAUCAUACAAAUUUUCAGUUACAAAUCUUGAAUUUUUUUCCACUUUUACCAUUUCCCCAUUCUUGAUUUGCAAAAAAAGCUAUGAAAUUGUACAAACAGUCAAGUAGAAGAGAUGAGGAUUUACCCAAUUCUCAACCAUACUCACCAAAGACCUUGAAAUACCCAAGAGGAUCUCUUCCCAGAUCCAUCAAUUAUCUCCUCAAAGAACAAAGACUUCUGUUCAUUCUUGUUGGUAUUCUAAUUGGUUCAACUUUUUUCAUCAUUCAACCUAGUCUAUCUCAUCUUAGCACAUCUUCUGAACCACAUUCUUCAAUACCCAGG
rnacentral:misc_RNA from 1 species